rnacentral:rRNA from 1 species
UACAGAGGGGGCAAGCGUUGUUCGGACUUACUGGGCGUAAAGGGCGCGUAGGCGGUGGAUCAAGUCAGGCGUGAAAGCCCCGGGCUCAACCUGGGAACCGCGCUUGAGACUGGUGCGCUAGAGUUCGGGAGAGGAUGGUGGAAUUCCCAGUGUAGAGGUGAAAUUCGUAGAUAUUGGGAAGAACACUGAUGGCGAAGGCAGCCAUCUGGACCGACACUGACGCUGAGGCGCGAAAGCGUGGGAAGCAAACAGG